UACAGAGGUCUCAAGCGUUGUUCGGAUUCAUUGGGCGUAAAGGGUGCGUAGGCGGCGCGGUAAGUCGGGUGUGAAAUCUUGGAGCUUAACUCCGAAACUGCAUUCGAUACUGCCGUGCUUGAGGACUGGAGAGGAGACUGGAAUUUACGGUGUAGCGGUGAAAUGCGUAGAUAUCGUAAGGAAGACCAGUGGCGAAGGCGGGUCUCUGGACAGUUCCUGACGCUGAGGCACGAAGGCCAGGGGGAGCAAAACGGG
rnacentral:rRNA from 1 species